GCCCGGUGCGCAGAAACGGGCAAGACCGGGCCCAAAAUCCGUUGCCCCUAACAGGGCGUGCCGGUUCAAGUCCGGCCCUGGGCA
rnacentral:tRNA from 1 species